CCUACGGGGGACAGCAGUGAGGAAUAUUGGUCAAUGGGCGAGAGCCUGAACCAGCCAAGUCGCGUGAGGGAGUACUGCCCUAUGGGUUGUAAACCUCUUUUGUCGGGGAGCAAAAGCCGGACGUGUCCGGCUGUGAGAGUUCCCGAAGAAAAAGCAUCGGCUAACUCCGUGCCAGCAGCCGCGGUAAUAAGGGGGAUGCGAGCGUUAUCCGGAUUUAUUGGGUUUAAAGGGUGCGCAGGCGGAUUUUUAAGUCAGCGGUAAAAUCGUGGGGCUCAACCCCAUCCAGCCGUUGAAACUGGGGAUCUAGAGUGUGCGAGAGGUAUGCGGAAUGCGUGGUGUAGCGGUGAAAUGCAUAGAUAUCACGCAGAACCCCGAUUGCGAAGGCAGCAUACCGGUGCACAACUGACGCUCAGGCACGAAAGCGUGGGUAUCGAACAGGAUUAGAUACCCCAGUAGUC
rnacentral:rRNA from 1 species